rnacentral:rRNA from 1 species
UACGUAGGUGGCAAGCGAUACUCGGAAUCACUAGGCGUAAAGCGCAGGUAGGCGGUUUAGUAAGUCUUUUUGUGAAAGCUCCCGGCUUAACUGGGAGAGGUCAAAGGAAACUACUAGGCUAGAGUUUGGUAGGGGAUACUGGAAUUCCUGGUGUAGCGGUGAAAUGCGUAGAUAAUCAGGAGGAAUACCUAUGGCGAAAGCAGGGUACUGGGCCACAACUGACGCUGAGCUGCGAAAGCUAGGGGAGCAAACAGGG